UCCUCAGGCAGGAUCAUCCUUAGCUGUUCUUCUUUUGAAAUGGCAGCUAGAACAUGAUGAUAGGAGUUUGGGGAUCACAUACUUUGCAUAUAUGCGGCCCCAGGUUCAUUUCCUGGU
rnacentral:snoRNA from 1 species